rnacentral:rRNA from 1 species
UACAUAGGGGGCUAGCUUUGUCCGGAAUUACUGGGCGUAAAGGGUGCGUAGGUGGUAGUGUGUUGGAAGUGUAAUCCCUCGGGCUUAACUCAGGGGCUGCUUCCAAAACUACAUUACUUGAGUAUCGGAGAGGAAAACGGAGUUCCUAGUGUAGCGGUGAAAUGCGUAGAUAUUAGGAGGAACACCAGAGGCGAAGGCGGUUUUCUGGACGAUAACUGACACUGAGGCACGAAAGCGUGGGGAGCGACUGGGAUUAGAUACCCCAUUAGUCUACGCUGUAAAUGAUGGGUACUUGACGUUGGGAGUAUCAACUCUCCCAGUGUCGUAGCUAACGCAUUAAGUACCCCGCCUGGGGAGUACGAUCGCAAGGUUGAA